UCCCCUCCCUCCCCCUCCUUAUCAGUCACAGUGUAAGUGCUUACAGGGGCUGCAGUCACUAAGUGUGGGAUCAGGGCGGCCAGGAGGUGGUUAAUCUUCUCCCUUUGUGCUGAGUGUGCUGAGCUCCUGUGUGUGAGGGAGAAGUCUCCACCAAUCAGAGCCCAGCUGGCAGAGGGAAGGGGCGGGGUUAUCUCUCUCCUCUCCAUCUCUACAUAUCACAGCCCAGCACAGCCCAUAGCAACCAAUCAGAUCGCUUCUUUCAUUCUUAACAAGACCUCUGAAAAAGAAGUGAUCUGAUUGGUUGCUAUGGGCAACUGGUCACCUUUUCCUCUCCACAGGUUUUGAUCCCUGAUUGUCUUCAUAUCUAGGAUGAGAAUCUUCUGACACAGGAUCAGUAAUUAGAGAUCAGUGGGGACCCAGGCACCAUCAGAACAGCAAUGGUGAGGAACUGCAAUAAUUUGCUUUGCAACAAAUCCGAAUAUCGCCGCGAUUUGAUCACACAAAUCCUUCAUUAAACUCCAUUUAAUGCGGUCCAGGCUCCAGGGCAUCUAAAAUGGAGGAUCCACAUGUGAGGACAUGGGGCAAGGAACUCUGGGAAGGCAGGAACAACGAAUAGACCUGCUGCCUGCAGUAACAAGUGUUUGGGUGAUCAUUUGAAGACGCCAACCUAUGUUUAGAAUCAAAGUGAGAAGUUUAAUUUAGAUCUGUGUUGCAGUAAUCUGAGAAGAAAUCAUAGCUGACCAAUAGGGGUCACCAGAACAUCCAGAGGCUGUCCGGCUGUAGCAUCUUCUAUGUCCCACCUGGAGCACAGACAUGGACAAAGUCCAUGUUCCAGAACCUCUGCUUGUGACCUUACCUUGCACCUUUGCCGCCUGCCUCCUGACCUUGUGCCUGUGACCUGACCACACUUCUCUGCUGCCUGCCCUUGACCUUCUGCUACAGCUGACUAUUCUUGUGUACUCCAGUGCCAAGUUUCGACUAGGCAGCCUGUGUGGACCAAUCAUGUCAGGGGUAGCGACCUGGGUGCCGCCUGCUCCAGCAAGCCCAUCCCGCUUUGCGGCGGGCUUUGGUGAAAACCAGCGGCACCUUAGACUCCGCUCCCUGCUACGGUUCAGUCAUUGUUCACACAGGUCCAGCGGAUCCACUUCCUCUAGCCGCUUACAUUUUACAUGUGAUUUAUUGUAUUUUGCCCAGUAUAGCUGACACUGCAAGCUGUAACAAGGGUUAAAGCACAUACACACACUUACACACACACACAGGUUAUGCAGAGAUUUCACUGGAGUUAGUUCAACUUAUGAGCCAAAGCACAUGUCAGGUGUACUUCAGGGAAGUCCAAUAAAGGCCCUUUUUCACCUGUCCCUAGCUGAGUACGAGUUAAUAACACAAGUUGAGACAGAGAGGAGAACACCAGGAGAGUCCGAGAGAGAAAUACUAAAAUUAAAGGGGUAUUCCAGGA